rnacentral:misc_RNA from 1 species
CUGAGAUCAUGCCCUUAACGGGGUAGACCUCCCACCCUGUGUUAUUACGAUUGUUGCUUUGGCAGGCCGCCCUCGGGCGCUCGGCUUCGGCUGAGGCGUGCCUGCCAGAAGACCCAAACCCUGUAUUUAGUGUUGUCCGAGUACUAUUUUAAUACGUUA